UGAAACGGCAAGAGAUGGAGGUGGAGGUGGUGGGGCCGCCGCUUGAGGUGGAGGUGGCUGUUGGUUGUUGGCUGUUUCCACCAUAUUUAUCGUUUAUUUAUUACUCUUCGCCUUCCCUGCUUAAGUAGAUAAACUAUGCAACUUCAAAUGCUCUCUCUUGUCUACACUACUCUUUAUCUACUGAAAAGCUAGAAACAAAUCACCGACCGAAACAAGAGAGAGAUAGACAGACCAAAACCAAGAGACUGAGAAAGAGAAAGAAAAUACAACAAAAAUAGAGCAAGAAAAGGAAAGAAGGGGAAGAGAGAGGAAAGCCUUCCGGAGAUGUUCCAAGAAACGAAAACAAAUAAAUGACCUGAGAGAGAGAGAGAGAGAG
rnacentral:misc_RNA from 1 species